AUAAUUAAUGAUUAUUUUCUGUUUUCAGUGUUCCUGACUUUUACACUCGGAAAAGAAAUAAAAGACUCGUUACCUCAGUAAAACAGUUUCCUGGUUCUUCUCAGUCUCGCUGUUCCCGGCGUUCCCGUCUCAGCGGGUGUACGUGGGGGACGAGGUGACUCUGAGGUGUAAAGAUGGGAGUACUGUUCUGAAGAACGGUGUAACGUGGUCCUACAAUGGAACAAAAAAUUCCACCAAUGCUACAGUGCACCUCCCAGUAGUGACGACGAGCGACUCGGGAGAGUACCAGUGUGAAAAUGGACAGGAGAGCAAUAAGGUUCAGAUCACAGUGUUGGGUAGGACAUCUUAAUACUUAUAAACAUAAUAUAAACACUAAAGUGCAGAACUUAUCUAGAACCUUCUCUCUCUCUCUGCAUCUCUCCCUGUACCCCAGACAUGCUGCCCCCGGCGUCGCUGUCGGUGUUGAACCAGGCGAACACCGUCGUCAGCAAAGGAGACGCUGUUCUUCUGAAGCUCUACCACCAUGAUGGCCUGGACGACUGGAGAUGCCGCUAUGCAAAUGCUAAUGGCGAAUGGUGGGUACCCAUAAAGCCCCAUCCAGGUGACCCCAAGUCCAACAUCAACACCACCGCCACCAUCCACGCCGAUGUUGAAGACGGCAGGACCUACUGGUGCAUGAGCACCAGCAAAACGGACCGCCAGCAGCGUCCACGCAGCAACGCCAUCAAGCUCAUAGCUACAGAAAAAAUGGUGAGGCUGCAGAUGUCAGAACGUCCAGCACUGAAGGGUGAUGACGUUAUGGUGACCUGUGAUGUGUGGGGGGGUCCUCAAAUCGUCAGUGUCGUAUUUUAUCAAAAUGGAAAAACAAAAGAGCCCGAUAACCCCCACGGGAACACAUUAACCAUCCCCAACAUCAACGAACUCGGCGCAGGCCAGUACAGCUGCAGCGCCUCCUACAAGUUCACCCACAUCAGUAAAGAAGCAGCGACACAUUCCAACCUGUCGUCCGACACACAGGUUCUCAGUGUCAUAGGUAACACAAAGCAAACGCUCAACAACACAACAACACAACAUGCACUGCAUUCACACCAUGUCUUAACCAUGAUCACCUUCCACAAGCAGGAGAAAACAGAGUCAGAACUUCUGUUCAGACUGUAUUCAACUCUCAAAUCAGAUCUGAUGAUCUGUCAGUAUGGUUAGAUUCAAGUGAUCAGAUCGGAUUUGUAUGUCCUGACAUCACAAGUGUGUCUGCAUGGGUUGCUAUAGUAACUAACCUUCAGCUCUUCUUGGUUCUCACUCUGGAUUUGAUGACGUCAUGAACGCCUGAAACCUGAUUUAAGCGUGCAGAUACAAAAUUAAGUGAUAUUUCUAGACGUUUUAUCUAUAUUUUGACUUUUGUUCAGAAAAAAGUGUUUUUG
rnacentral:lncRNA from 1 species